rnacentral:rRNA from 1 species
UACGGGGGGGGCAAGCGUUGUUCGGAAUUACUGGGCGUAAAGGGCUCGUAGGUGGCCAACUAAGUCAGACGUGAAAUCCCUCGGCUUAACCGGGGAACUGCGUCUGAUACUGGAUGGCUAGAGAUUGGGAGAGGGAUGCGGAAUUCCAGGUGUAGCGGUGAAAUGCGUAGAUAUCAGGAGGAACACCGAUGGCGAAGGCAGGUCUCUGGGCCAUAACUGACGCUGAGAAGCGAAAGCAUGGGGAGCGAACAGG